ACGACGAGCACAGCCACCACAACCACCACCACAAUAUCGUUGGAUAAUAUCGUAAGGAUUGGUGAUGGCAAUAUUAUAACGCGGGAAGCUAUUCAACAAUCUUUAGUGACUGUCCAUGACAUUGCCACCGAAAACUUGGGCACACUCUGUAUCUCGACCCUCUAUCGUCCGCUGCAAGUGCCCAUUAAUUCAGAACGUUAUGAAAGUUCGAGACAAAAGGCUGAUUUAGUGGCAUCCAUACUGCAAGAGGUUGGCAUAAUCCGGCAUGGAGGUCUAUCGGAUGCCCUGGCCAAAGGUUUGCUAAGUGAUCAACACACAACUGGUGCUAGAAUUUUGGCCCUCAAUAUUACAAAUGGUUCCGUGCAGUCGUAUGUGUGGUGGAUCAAAAAGAAUCAUGACAAAAAUGGUGAACUGCAGCGGUUCGAAGAAGAAGGUCUACAAGUUGCCAAGAAGCCCUCAUCUAUGUAUC